rnacentral:rRNA from 1 species
AUGGCGGCGGCAGGUACCCUAGUCGUGUACAGGGCGGUGUUCGCCGCGCUUGGCUGCCUCAUGGUGGGCACCCUGGUGUACACCUGCAUCACCGACGGCUCGCCGUUUCGCACCGAGCUGCUGACCCCGUGGAUGGUGACAACACUGGUUGAUCUUUAUGUAAAUAUAGCAGCGAUUUCGACUUGGGUUGUCUACAAGGAAGGAAAUUGGAUUACUUCUAUCUUCUGGGUAGUAUUGUUGAUUUGUUUCGGCAGUGCCACUACAUGUGCUUAUAUUGUUAGCAAGUUAUUUGAGAUAACAUCUUCAGGGCUUUCCCAAAAUCCGCUUGACCUUUUGUUGCUCAGGCAAAAUAAUCUACCUGAAAGGAAGUGUUCUUUUGUCGUCAUCGGAAGAACUAUUUUCAGCAUUCUGGGCAUACUCAUGGCUGCACUUGUCACGUAUACUGUCAUUACAGAUGGACUGCCUUUCAGGAAGGAUUUGUUGACACCGUGGAUGGCUGCAACCUUAAUUGACUUCUAUAUAAAUGUUUUUGCAAUAUCGGUAUGGGUUGUUCACAGGGAGUCGACUUGGAUCUCAGCAGUCAUUUGGAUAUGCUUGUUGAUAUGCUUCGGAAGCAUCACAACAUGUGGCUACAUUGUGGUUCAACUUCUCCAAGUGUCAUACCAAGACCCAGUCUACCAUCUGCUACUGAACUCCCAUAGCAAGUAUGGAAUCGCACCCUUGCAGAAGACCUGA